rnacentral:rRNA from 1 species
UGGCAGGUACAGCGGGAAGCCACCUGGCGACAGGCGCGGAACCCGAAAACCUGUCUCAGUUCGGAUUGGAGUCUGCAACCCGACUCCAUGAAGCUGGAUUCGCUAGUAAUCGCGCAUCAGCCACGGCGCGGUGAAUACGUUCCCGGGCCUUGUACACACCGCCCGUCAAGCCAUGGGAGCCGGGGGUGCCUGAAGGCCGUGACCGCGAGGAGCGGCCUAGGGUAAAACUGGUGACUGGGGCUAAGUCGUAACAAGGUACC